GAAUGUGCCAGGGUCAAGUCUGUACUGAUUUUCAUGGUGAAUAGAUUACAUGCUUGCAUUCAUGUUCACUUCCGAAGCGCUUAGUGUCUUCCUUCCCUUACUUACAUAUUAACCUCAAAUACCCCGAGCGGCUUCAGUGCUGGAGGUAGUUAACAAUGUGGGGUUCCCAGGAUGCAGGUUCUCCACCCUCGCCCCCU
rfam:Podiceps cristatus contig79979, whole genome shotgun sequence.